GGAUGAACGCUGACAGAAUGCUUAACACAUGCAAGUCUAUGAGAAGAUCUACUUCGGUAGAAGGUAUCAUGGCGGACGGGUGAGUAACGCGUAAAGAACUUGCCUCUUAGACUGGGAUAACAGAUGGAAACGUCUGAUAAGACUAGAUAUAAUAGCGACAUGGCAUCAUGUUGUUAUGAAAGGUAACACUAAGAGAGAGCUUUGCGUCCUAUUAGUUAGUUGGUGAGGUAAUGGCUCACCAAGACGAUGAUAGGUAGCCGGCCUGAGAGGGUGAACGGCCACAAGGGGACUGAGAUACGGCCCUUACUCUUACGGGAGGCAGCAGUGGGGAAUAUUGGACAAUGGAGGAAACUCUGAUCCAGCAAUUCUGUGUGCACGAUGAAGGUUUUCGGAUCGUAAAGUGCUUUCAGUAGGGAAGAAGAAAGUGACGGUACCUACAGAAGAAGCGACGGCUAAAUACGUGCCAGCAGCCGCGGUAAUACGUAUGUCGCAAGCGUUAUCCGGAAUUAUUGGGCGUAAAGGGCAUCUAGGCGGUCAAUCAAGUCGAAGGUGAAAACUUGUGGCUCAACCAUAAGCUUGCCUACGAAACUGAUUAACUAGAGUACUGGAGAGGUGGACGGAACUACACGAGUAGAGGUGAAAUUCGUAGAUAUGUGUAGGAAUGCCGAUGAUGAAGAUAGUUCACUGGACAGAAACUGACGCUGAAGUGCGAAAGCUAGGGGAGCAAACAGGAUUAGAUACCCUGGUAGUCCUAGCCCUAAACGAUGUAGACUUGGCGUCGGUGGUUUAAUCGCCAUCGGUGUCGUAGCUAACGCGAUAAGUCUACCGCCUGGGGACUACGGCCGCAAGGUUAAAACUCAAAGGAAUUGACGGGUCCCCGCACAAGCAGCGGAGCGUGUGGUUUAAUUCGAUGCUACACGAAGAACCUUACCUGGGUUUGACAUAGAGGUAGUAGGGAAGCGAAAGCGGACCGACCCUUCGGGGAGCCUCUACAGGUGUUGCAUGGCUGUCGUCAGCUCGUGUCGUGAGAUGUUCGGUUAAGUCCGCUAACGAGCGCAACCCUCGCUGUGUGUUACAAGUGUCACACGGUACUGCCGAUAUUAAGUCGGAGGAAGGUGGGGAUGACGUCAAGUCAGCAUGACCUUUAUAUCCAGGGCUACACACACGCUACAAUGGCCAGUACAAUGGGUUGCCAAGCCGCGAGGCGGAGCCAAUCCUAAAAAGCUGGCCUCAGUUCAGAUUGCAGUCUGCAACUCGACUGCAUGAAGUUGGAGUUGCUAGUAACCGCAGGUCAGCAAUACUGCGGUGAAUACGUUCCCGGGGAU
rnacentral:rRNA from 1 species